CUUUUUGAGGAUUUGAUCCUGGUCCAGGAUGAACGCUAGCGACGUGCUUUAGGCAUGCAAGUAGAACGGAACGUAACAUUUUGCGCAAGCGAAAUUAUACGUUCAGUUGCGAACGGCUGAGUAUAAAAUAGGAAUCUACCCAAUGGUGUGGAAUACCUUAUCGAAAGAUGAGCUAAUACCACAUGACCCCGCAAGGGAAAAGCGCUUAACCGCGCGCCGAUGGAUGAGCCUAUUUCCCAUCAGCUAGUUGGUAAGGUAAUGGCUUACCAAGGCUAUGACGGGUAGGGGAUUUGAGAGGAUGACCCCCCAGAAUGGGACUGAGACACGGCCCAUACACCUACGGGUGGCAGCAACCGGGAAUCGUGCGCAAU
rnacentral:ncRNA from 1 species